GUACUCACUUUGGCAGCACAUAUACUAAAAUUUUAAUGAUACAGAGAUUAUCAUGGCCCCUGUGCAAGGAUGACAUGCAAAUUUGUGAAGUGUUUGAUAUUUU
rnacentral:snRNA from 1 species